CCUACGGGCGGCAGCAGUGAGGAAUAUUGGUCAAUGGGCGAGAGCCUGAACCAGCCAAGUCGCGUGAGGGAGUACUGCCCUAUGGGUUGUAAACCUCUUUUGUCGGGGAGCAAAAGCCGGACGUGUCCGGCUGUGAGAGUACCCGAAGAAAAAGCAUCGGCUAACUCCGUGCCAGCAGCCGCGGUAAUACGGAGGAUGCGAGCGUUAUCCGGAUUUAUUGGGGUUAAAGGGUGCGCAGGCGGAUUUUUAAGUCAGCGGUCAAAUCGUGGGGCUCAACCCCAUCCAGCCGUUGAAACUGGGGAUCUAGAGUGUGCGAGAGGUAUGCGGAAUGCGUGGUGUAGCGGUGAAAUGCAUAGAUAUCACGCAGAACCCCGAUUGCGAGGGCAGCAUACCGGUGCACAACUGACGCUCAGGCACGAAAGCGUGGGUAUCGAACAGGAUUAGAUACCCUGGUAGUC
rnacentral:rRNA from 1 species